CCUCCUGCCAUUCACUGUACCUCCAGCCAGCCUGGGCUCCCUCUGCCUAUCCCCUCACUUCCCCCUCCUUAUUCAGCUACCUCCAGUCCCCAGUGCCCCUCUGCCUCUGUGUGGCCUCCCUCUUUUUUCUCUAUCUCUGACCUAUGGUCUGCCUCCUUUCAUGGUGUCAGCCCAGCCUCCUUAUCUGAACCCUCAACCCCUACACGCUCCCCUUCACAACCCUCUCCCUCUGUGCAAGGCAGGGCCUUUCAUCCACAGGGGCCUGACCUCUGCACAGUGUUGGCUUUGUCCUGGGGGUCCUGAGCUAAACAGAGAUGAACACUAGUGUUGCUCUGGGCCCAGCCCUGCCCUCUUCCCUCGGCCCCACAUUUCUCUGAUGCCUCAAAGUCCAGCCCCGUAGCUCACCCAGCAGCCACACCCAGGUCCAAAAUCAGCACUCACAUUGGAGGGAGAGUAAGAACCAACCAACAAAAUCAAGACACAUUGAUCCUUCCUUUAUUCUAUUAUUAUUUUAAGGAGUAUAAAGUCCCUGCUACACUAUUUCUGAGUGGAGGAUUGGCCAGACAGUUCUCCCAAAGAACACGUGUCUUUGGAACAUGCACAAAAUGGACCAAUAGAUAAUGUCCAAUUACACAUUUCUUAAGGAGUCAAACUGUGCUGAGAGGAGAAAUCAUUGACCUUAGUGCCAAUUGUACAAGGUGCAGGUCAUUUUGAGUGCAAAACCCCAGAGGUCCCUGCUCACUGGGUCCAUUAGAACACCAGGCAGUCAGCCUCCUGAGCGACAGUUGUGAAGCUCGUCACUAUGAGCAGGACCACUUAUCAUUCUGCAGGCAGUGGCUCCCCCUACACCAUGCAGCUGCUGGAAGCAUCUUUCCCAAACAGACAGCUCAUCCCGAUGGUCCUGCUUCUGUUUCCUCAUUGCCCUCAGGACAAAGCUCAGCUCCCUCAGCUUGGCCUCCCAUCGCUCUGCCUCUGCUCUCAUGCCCGCCCUCACCUUCAGCCCCUGCUGCAAAGGCAGCCCAAUGUCCAGCCUGAAUGGUCUAGCAGACACUCAAUACCAGAGUAAGACGUGACGUUAAUAUAUAGGUGAACAUAUGUUUGGAAUACCCAGCAGAUUACUCUUCUUUGCCAUUCAGAGAAGAAAUCAUGGCAUUCGAUAUGCAAUAAAAACAGGUUUUAUAUAAAUUAUUACA
rnacentral:lncRNA from 1 species